rnacentral:rRNA from 1 species
GACGAACGCUGGCGGCGUGCCUAAUACAUGCAAGUAGAACGCACAGUUUAUACCGUAGCUUGCUACACCAUAGACUGUGAGUUGCGAACGGGUGAGUAACGCGUAGGUAACCUGCCUGGUAGCGGGGGAUAACUAUUGGAAACGAUAGCUAAUACCGCAUAAUAUUGAUUAUUGCAUGAUAAUUAAUUGAAAGGUGCAAUUGCACCACUACCAGAUGGACCUGCGUUGUAUUAGCUAGUAGGUGAGGUAACGGCUCACCUAGGCGACGAUACAUAGCCGACCUGAGAGGGUGAUCGGCCACACUGGGACUGAGACACGGCCCAGACUCCUACGGGAGGCAGCAGUAGGGAAACUUCGGCAAUGGACGAAAGUCUGACCGAGCAACGCCGCGUGAGUGAAGAAGGUUUUCGGAUCGUAAAGCUCUGUUGUAAGAGAAGAACGGGUGUGAGAGUGGAAAGUUCACACUGUGACGGUAUCUUACCAGAAAGGGACGGCUAACUACGUG